rnacentral:rRNA from 2 species
GGCUAGAGACGCUGGCGGCGUGCCUAAUACAUGCAAGUCGAACGAACUCUGGUAUUGAUUGGUGCUUGCAUCAUGAUUUACAUUUGAGUGAGUGGCGAACUGGUGAGUAACACGUGGGAAACCUGCCCAGAAGCGGGGGAUAACACCUGGAAACAGAUGCUAAUACCGCAUAACAACUUGGACCGCAUGGUCCGAGCUUGAAAGAUGGCUUCGGCUAUCACUUUUGGAUGGUCCCGCGGCGUAUUAGCUAGAUGGUGGGGUAACGGCUCACCAUGGCAAUGAUACGUAGCCGACCUGAGAGGGUAAUCGGCCACAUUGGGACUGAGACACGGCCCAAACUCCUACGGGAGGCAGCAGUAGGGAAUCUUCCACAAUGGACGAAAGUCUGAUGGAGCAACGCCGCGUGAGUGAAGAAGGGUUUCGGCUCGUAAAACUCUGUUGUUAAAGAAGAACAUAUCUGAGAGUAACUGUUCAGGUAUUGACGGUAUUUCAACCAGAAAGCCACGGCUAACUACGUGCCAGCAGCCGCGGUAAUACGUAGGUGGCAAGCGUUGUCCGGAUUUAUUGGGCGUAAAGCGAGCGCAGGCGGUUUUUUAAGUCUGAUGUGAAAGCCUUCGGCUCUAACCGAAGAAGUGCAUCGGAAACUGGGAAACUUGAGUGCAGAAGAGGACAGUGGAACUCCAUGUGUAGCGGUGAAAUGCGUAGAUAUAUGGAAGAACACCAGUGGCGAAGGCGGCUGUCUGGUCUGUAACUGACGCUGAGGCUCGAAAGUAUGGGUAGCAAACAGGAUUAGAUACCCUGGUAGUCCAUACCGUAAACGAUGAAUGCUAAGUGUUGGAGGGUUUCCGCCCUUCAGUGCUGCAGCUAACGCAUUAAGCAUUCCGCCUGGGGAGUACGGCCGCAAGGCUGAAACUCAAAGGAAUUUGACGGGGGUCCCGCACAAGCGGUGGAGCAUGUGGUUUAAUUUCGGAAGCUACGCGAAGAACCUUUACCAGGUCUUGACAUACUAUGCAAAUCUAAGAGAUUAGACGUUCCCUUCGGGGACAUGGAUACAGGUGGUGCAUGGUUGUCGUCAGCUCGUGUCGUGAGAUGUUGGGUUAAGUCCCGCAACGAGCGCAACCCUUAUUAUCAGUUGCCAGCAUUAAGUUGGGCACUCUGGUGAGACUGCCGGUGACAAACCGGAGGAAGGUGGGGAUGACGUCAAAUCAUCAUGCCCCUUAUGACCUGGGCUACACACGUGCUACAAUGGAUGGUACAACGAGUUGCGAACUCGCGAGAGUAAGCUAAUCUUUUAAAGCCAUUCUCAGUUCGGAUUGUAGGCUGCAACUCGCCUACAUGAAGUCGGAAUCGCUAGUAAUCGCGGAUCAGCAUGCCGCGGUGAAUACGUUCCCGGGCCUUGUACACACCGCCCGUCACACCAUGAGAGUUUGUAACACCCAAAGUCGGUGGGGUAACCUUUUAGGAACCAGCCGCCUAAGGUGGGACAGAUGAUAGGGAAGUCGACAUU